rnacentral:rRNA from 1 species
GAUGAACGCUAGCGACAGGCUUAACACAUGCAAGUCGAGGGGCAGCACGGGAGUAGCAAUACAACUGGUGGCGACCGGCGCACGGGUGAGUAACGCGUAUGCAACCUACCUAUCAGAGGGGAAUAACCCGGCGAAAGUCGGACUAAUACCGCAGAAAACAUGGGCACCGCAUGGUGAUAUUUGUUAAAGAAAUUCGCUGAUAGAUGGGCAUGCGUUCCAUUAGGUAGUUGGUGAGGUAACGGCUCACCAAGCCGACGAUGGAUAGGGGAACUGAGAGGUUGGUCCCCCACACUGGUACUGAGACACGGACCAGACUCCUACGGGAGGCAGCAGUGAGGAAUAUUGGUCAAUGGGCGGGAGCCUGAACCAGCCAAGUCGCGUGAAGGAAGAAGGAUCUAUGGUUCGUAAACUUCUUUUGCAGGGGAAUAAAGUGCAGGACGUGUCCUGUUUUGUAUGUACCCUGAGAAUAAGGAUCGGCUAACUCCGUGCCAGCCGCCGCCUAA